rnacentral:rRNA from 1 species
GGCCAGACUCCUACGGGAGGCAGCAGUGAGGAAUAUUGGUCAAUGGGCUUACGCCUGAACCAGCCAAGUCGCGUGAGGGAAGACUGCCCUAUGGGUUGUAAACCUCUUUUGUCAGGGAGCAAUUGGCGCUACGUGUAGCGUUAUCGAGAGUACCCGAAGAAAAAGCAUCGGCUAACUCCGUGCCAGCAGCCGCGGUAAUACGGAGGAUGCGAGCGUUAUCCGGAUUUAUUGGGUUUAAAGGGUGCGCAGGCGGAAGAUCAAGUCAGCGGUAAAAUUGAGAGGCUCAACCUCUUCGAGCCGUUGAAACUGGUUUUCUUGAGUGAGCGAGAAGUAUGCGGAAUGCGUGGUGUAGCGGUGAAAUGCAUAGAUAUCACACAGAACUCCGAUUGCGAAGGCAGCAUACCGGCGCUCAACUGACGCUCAUGCACGAAAGUGUGGGUAUCGAACAGGAUUAGAUACCCCGGUAG